rnacentral:lncRNA from 1 species
GUGCUUCCUCAGUCCCCAGGCCCAGCACCUGCAGGGCCGACCAGCUCCAGUCCCAGGUCCAAUCCUGAGUGGCCAAAAGCCGGAAACCCGGAGUUGGAAUUGGAUCUUGCACAAGCUGGACCACGUAAGCUGGGCCAGGCCAGAGGUGGAGGCCACCGCUGCGGGAGGAGGGCAUCUGAUGAUUUUGAAGGACCCCAUUAAUAGAGGGUAUAAACCAGGUGCGGGCCAUCAGGGAGGAUUGUCACUCUGGCCCGAUCUUGUUUGUUUACACCAGGAAGGGCCUGCCUUCCACCUGCAAGAAAAUAUGGCAGCUGCAGAAUAAUGUGGCGCAAUGCCAAAUAUCCGUUUGUUUUAGGGAGUGAGGCUACUUGAGAAGCAUCUUAAAUGGGGAGAGAGAGCAAGUUAAAUCUGAUUUCCACGCAGCUCUGUGGAUUCCGAAUGUCCACAGUAUGAUGUUAUCUCCAUUCCCACUUCCGAGCCGCUCCUCUUCUGUGUUUCCUGCACCACCAUUCGCUCAGUUGCUCUACACUAAAAUUUGCUGUCAUCGUUGACUUCUCCCUCUCCUUCAUCCCCUACAAGUAUCAACAUAGACAACUCCGAUCAAUAUAAUCAUCAGUGAAUAAAGCAAAUUGCAGCGCAUAUUCUUAAAGACAAACUUUCCACUUGCAGCAGCACCUACCUUCCAGAUAGCUAAAUUGAAGCCCGUGUUUAUCAUAGCUGCUUCUAACCAGCCAGAGCUGAUAAUAACUAAGAACUUGCAGGAAUUGCAGUAUGCCAGACCUUCAAUUUAAUUGAAGACUUUCCUGAACAAUUAAUGAGACUUGUCUUAACCAGCAGGGAAUGGCUUUAGGGACUCAUUCUUCCCUAUGCAGGUGCAAGCCUCAAACCUUAAUUAGGAUCAUCCACCAUGAUCCUCGAGCCCUUCCCCACCUUAUACUUGAAGAGGCUGAACCUCAGAGAAUUAAAUUACCUACAGUCCUGGUCACUGGUAGAGCUAUUAUUUAAAGUAAGGUCUAAUGUCAAAGCCUGCGUCCUUAAUUCUACCAUAUGCUGCUUCUUGCAGUGUCGUUCCUCAACCAGAACACAUAGCUCUUCUGUGUAGGUAAAGUCCAUCAAAACAUGUCAUAAAAUAAAUUAAAGAAAUUGGUUUCUGCUCUAUUUCAAUUAGUACCAGAGUAAAACAAUCAAUGAUUUGUGUUUGGGAAUAUUUCUAGUUGGCAUUAACGUUGUUAGGAGAUAGCUUAGCUCUUCACUGGGGGCCCACUGAAUUAUCGGAACCCUGGAACACAAAUGUGUCAAAAGGGUGUAAUCAAAAUUAUGUCAGGGAAUGUUAAGUUUCUAGUCUUUGGUCACUGAGGCCUAUCAGUAGGUUUGGGUGUUUUGUUUUGUUUUUCCCACAAAGAGGCUUUGAGUAAGAAUUGUGUCUGGUAGACAAACACAGGUACACACACAGGUGUGUACUCACACAGCAAGAGCAGUAGAGAUCAUCUCCCACAACACAAGAGCUCAUGAAGAAAGGGAAUUGAGCUUCAAUGUAAGCAUUAGUUUAGCAUUUUUGGAGCCUGAAUGUGUUGACUUUACAAAUUAAGAAGUCCCUGAACAAAAACGUCAAAAACAAAUCCCAAGUUGCAGUCUGCCCAGGUAAUUCAUGUCUAUCAAGUGUCUACAAUACCAAUUUCUACAUCUUUGGGAGUAUUUUAUAGGUUUGUUUGAAGAGCAAGGUCAAUAACUCUUUCCCCAAGAAAUAAAUGAAAUCAUAAAAAAAAAACCGCCUAUUUUCUUAACCUAACCUAUCUGCCAUCUACUUCUGGAUCAUAUUCAUUGGAGCCAUAAAAAUAUUAGCAGAAGCAUAUGCAGUUCUUAUUAUCUGCCACUGUUGGAAGCGCUUUACAUAUGUUAACUAACUUACACUUCAUACCAACUCUGUGCAGUGACGACUAUGAUUAUCUCCUGCUUUACACAUGGAAGAAAUUGAGGCACAGACUACAAGGUCACACAGCAAAUGGCAGAGCUGUCCUAACUCUGCAUUUGUUUCUUGCAGUGAAGAGUCUUUUUUCUGUCUCUUAGUCUGUUCUCAACACAGUGACCAGAGCACUUGGGUUAGAAGUCUGACUGUGCCAUUUCUCUCCCCAAAACCCUCUGGUGGCACCCCUUUUCUCAGGCAGUGCUUUGCAAAGCCCCACACAUCCUCCUCCCUGACAUCAGCAUCUUCUCUUUCCCCCUCACUUGUGUUUCCUUCUUGCCCUCAGCUGCUUCAUCUGCCUGGAACGCCUCCCCAGACAAUCUCCUGGUUCACGCCCUCUCCUCCUUUCUGUCUUUACGCAAAUGUCACUUCUCAGAGAGACCUUCCCUAAUCACCUGAUUUAAAACUUCAACUCAUCUGCAUUUCCCCCGACAGCAUCUUUCCUUCCAUGACAAUUCCCUGCUAACCUGCUCUGUAACUGGCUUAAUCAUCGUAGAGCCUACCUCCCCCUUUUUUGCAUGUUUGUUUCAUGGGAGUGAUGAUAUUUAUGCAGCAUUUAGCACAGUGCCUGGCCCAUAACCAGUACUCAGUAAACAUGUGUUGAAUGGACAAGUAGAUGUGGAGUGAGAAAUGAGAGGGGUGGUCGGCAGACAGGAGAACAAAGGCCACAUGUACAGUUUGCCCUGGCUGUACCCUGGCUCUGGUUCUUCCUGCCUUGGCCUCAGCCAGAUACACCUGUGUCCUUCUCAUGUACUUACCCCCACGUCCUCUGUUGAAGCUUAGGACAUCCAGAGUUGCAUUUGUUUCUUGCAGUGAAGAGUCUUUUAAAAUCUGAAAUAGGCUGUGAGCGGUGGCUCACGCCUGUAAUCCCAUCACUUUGGGAGGCUGAGGCACAUGGAUCACCUGAGGUCAGGAGUUCGAGACUAGCCUGGCCAACAUGGUGAAACGCUGUCUCUACUAACAAUACAAAAAAAAAAAAAUAGCCGGGUGUGAUGGUGCACGCCUGUAAUCCCAGCUACUCAGGAGGCUGAGAUGGAAGAAUCGCUUGAACCUAGGAGGCAGAGGUUGUAGUAAGCCGAGAUCACUCUACUGCACUCCAGCCUGGGUGACAGAGGGAGACUCCAUUUCCAAAAAAAAGA